rnacentral:rRNA from 1 species
GUGCGGCAGGCGGCUUGUCAAGACAGAUGUGAAAUACCCCGGGCCGUCAACCUGGGAACUGCAUUUGUGACUGCAAGGCUAGAGUACGGCAGAGGGGGAGUGGAAUUCCGCGUGUAGCAGUGAAAUGCGUAGAUAUGCGGAGGAACACCAAUGGCGAAGGCAAUCCCCUGGGCCUGUACUGACGCUCAUGCACGAAAGCGUGGGGAGCAAACAGGAUUAGAUACCCCUGU